UAGGAGAUAGAUUCCACAAAGCCUGGUCUCUGCUCCACUCCGUUGGUGAAGUCAUCAGAAACGUCAUUCAGCAAGGAGUGGAGUUUAGUCCUCUACCCCUGUGAAUGAACUCAGCUGGAGCCCCUCCUAUGAGACAGUUCACAGACUUGGUCCGGCACGGGAAUGGAGGUCCGGUGCAACACCAAGUCUUGCUUAUUGCCGUGAACAUCGCACACAACCUCCAUCAAAGAAAUACCACUUGUGCUAGAGGCCGAGAUUCGGUGGUCCUCAGACCACGUGAGCGGCUCCAGGCCGCUGACCGGACUCAGUAGCUUUAUCACCGGAUCCCUCUUCACGACUGGCCCGAGUGCUGCCCAGGGAUCAUUCUCCCGUUCGGCUUCGGUCUACUGACCCUGGCCACCUGAACCUGCCUCUCUGACCCUGGCCACCUCAACCUGCCUCUCUGACCCUGGCCACCUGACCCUGCCUGUCUGACCCUGGCCACCUCAACCUGCCUCUCUGACCCUGGCCACCUCAACCUGCCUCUCUGACCCUGGCCACCUCAACCUGCCUCUCUGACCCUGGCCACCUCAACCUGCCUCUCUGACCCUGGCCACCUCAACCUGCCUCUCUGACCCUGGCCACCUCAACCUGCCUCUCUGACCCUGGCCACCUCAACCUGCCUCUCUGACCCUGGCCACCUCAACCUGCCUCUCUGACCCUGGCCACCUCAACCUGCCGCCUCUUUUACCGGACAACUCUGAUCCCCAGAAACAUGGGCACCCCUACAGUUGACAAUGUUUUCCACCAAAAUUACACAUUCCUCUGUUCCAUGUGUUCCUGCACACUUCCCACAUCUUGGAAUUUCCCUCCUACACACUGCUGCAACAUGCCCAUAAACGUGACACCUGUAACACUGCAGUGGAUUCGGCACAAAACCUCUAACAGAAUAACUCAUAUAUCUUAACAUGACUUUGUCAGGUAAAGACCCUGAAUCUAAGCUCAAAAGAACAGACUGUGUCACCUCUGUUUCACAACGCUACUGUAGAAAUGUGCUGUAUCACCAAUGGCAGGCAUUAUAGUGACAUACUCUUAAUAAAUAAUGAGUUUUUCCUUACCUGACAAGCGAGACAUCAGUCAUUUAAUCUGCCUAGUGGGCUUUGCGAAGGACACCUAGUGGGAUCAUUAAUUGUGAAAAUAUGAAAACUCUCUGUAGAUGUGGACUCUGGUUCAUGUCUCUCUGAGACCACUCCGUAUGUGUUGUGAGAUGAGACACUAAACACUCCUGGACAGGGCAAAGGGCAAACUGCUGUGGUCUCCUGAAGUGCAGAGAGCUACAGAGACAGACAGUGAUUUGUUGCAGCCCUACAGUACAGUAAAACGUCUCUCAUCAGAGCCACAGCCUGACUCUCACUGAGGUGACAGUGGGAUUUCACCAGGCACAGUUAUUUGUCACAAAACAAAUUGUUACAAAUCUGUGAGACAAAUAUAGAAUAGCGCACCGACUGUG